UAGGUUUCUUUUGUAGAUCACUAUGUCACAUAAAAUACAAAACCCAUAGCAUAAACAAGCUGACAGUUAUGAAUGUUUAAUGUGGUCUCAUUGGAAAUUAAACAAGUUAUACUAGUCUUCUCAAGUAGUCAAAUUCAAGAUGCAUCAUCAUCUCCUAGUUAGUACAAGUCACUGCCAUUUCUAUAACAAAGUAAUGAAGGCACAGCUAGUGCAAGCAGACUUAAACCCGUUCAGACUACUGGGCUGAAAAAUACUUUGGUUGGUUCUUCAGGAGAGAGCUUUCUCUAAACAAAUAUUGGUCUCGGUUAACAGUUCUGAUAAUCUUCACAGCUGCAGUCUAAUAGCUACAUGACAAAGACUUCACAAGAACCAAACUAUGUAGCAAUGAAUUAACAUUCAUGCUUUAGGGGAUUUACUGCAAUCUACAUAUUGGCAGAAAAUUAUACUGUUAAAAUGUUAGGUAGAUUGAACCUACAUUUUAAACUGGUUCUUAUGUGUUUGAUUCCAUUUUUUAACAAAUUGGUUACUUAAUUCUACCAAGAUACAAAACAUAAGGCUGUAAGUAACUAAUAGUUGUGUUUAGGCUAUUACAGUGCAGGUAAUCCUCAAGGCCACAUACACACUGCUUCACUGCUGCUUGCAUUCUGCUGGGUUUUGAUCCUUUUUUGGGUCAAAAUCAGGAUCAUUUUCUUCAUCUGCUUCUUCUUCCCCCUCCUCAUCAUCUGCCUCUUCACCUUCUUCAUCAUAAUCAUCAUCAUCAUCUUCAAUAGCUUCUCCUGUGAAGUACAAUACUGAUCGGGGGACUAUACGCUCACGUAAGAAAUGACCUAUUUCAAAGUCCGCAGCAAGGAUUGCCUCAGCGUCAUCAUCCAGGUCUCCACUUUCAGGAACUUCAGGGGGACUAAAGAAGUUGAAGAAGGAAUCGUUGGAAACAGUUUUUGUCACUGUUCUAACUGUCCCACGACCCUUGUGUUUCUGCUUCUUUUUAAUUGUUUUCAAAGUAACAUUCUUGCCUUUUUUCCAGUCUAUUUGGCAGCCCGUACAGCCCAUGAUUUCUGGUCCAUCAAAGGAAAAGGGAUCAGAAUCAUCUGGCUCUGAUCUCAUUCUAUACGUCUUUGUCAACACUUCAUUUGUGAAGUAGUCAUUUGGUUCAAAGUGAAAUUCUAAUGUGAAACUCAUAGGCUGUCCAACUUCUGAGAAUUUCACUUUUAUAUCUUUUAAGUGUUUCAGGAUAGGUUCAUCAUGUUCCUGAACCAUAUCACUGAGCAAGUCCACAUUCUUGAAUACUGUCAGCCAAAAUUCAGGAAUUCCUUUAGGGUCUUCUUUUUCUUCAUCUUUCUUUUCUUCUUCAAGUUUGGCUUUCUCUUUCAUUUCUGAAAUUUCUUCUUCGGCAUCUGCUUUCCAUUCACAUUCUUCCUCUGUAGGUUCAUAGAUUGCAUUGAUGAUCUCGCUUCGCUUGUCAAAUAAGGGCUGAUAGAGAGCAGCAUAUUUUCUUUCCAGCUCAUGAACUUCCUCAUAGAACUUUGCUUCUAUCUGUGCACACUGAACUUGAAGAUUCUUGAGGGCAUUCACACGUCUUUUAACAACUUUAGGCAAGCUCUCUAUAUAUCCUGUAGAUGUUCCUACCAGACCAUCAAGUCUUUCCUGAAGAGCUGCAAGAAUCUGAGGAUUUUGCAUCAUCUGUACAGUCAACUGCCGAGCUUUGCUGUUGGCAUCUUCACCAGUUUCUUCUUCUUCUACAUCUUCC
rnacentral:lncRNA from 1 species